rnacentral:rRNA from 2 species
UACGGAGGGUGCAAGCAUUAAUCGGAAUUAUUGGGCGUAAAGGGCGCGUAGGCGGGAUUAAAAGUCAGAUGUGAAAUUCCGAAGCUCAACUUCGGAGCCGCAUUUGAAACUGCAAUUCUUGAGGGAUGGCGGAGGAAACGGAAUUCCACGUGUAGCGGUGAAAUGCGUAGAUAUGUGGAAGAACACCUGUGGCGAAAGCGGUUUUCUAGCUUUUACCUGACGCUGAGGCGCGAGAGCAAGGGGAGCAAACAGG